rnacentral:misc_RNA from 1 species
AUUUAUGAUAGCAAACUUGAAUGCUUGCGUUCAUGGUAUCCAAAGGACACGCUUAUUGCUCCCAUUUCAAGUGCGAUAUAUUCCAGUGAUGGUUUGCUGGUUUAUACGGGUUUUUGUGAUGGUGCUGUUGGAGUUUUUGAUGCAGAUGGCUUGAGGGUCAGGUGUAGAAUAGCACCUUCUGCUUACAUACCUUCAUUUGUGGCAGGCAACACUGCAUAUCCUAUGGUUAUAGCAGCUCAUCCAUCUGAGCCCAAUCAGAUUGCACUUGGCAUGAGUGAUGGUGC